GUAGGUGAACCUGCGGAAGGAUCAUUCAUAAUAAGUGUUUUAUGGCACUUUUUAAAUCCAUAUCCACCUUGUGUGCAAUGUCAGUCGUUCACUUCUAUGGGAACGACCAAACAUCAACCAACUCUUUAACUCUUUGUCUUAAAAAUAUUACUAAUUAAAUAAUUCAAAAUACAACUUUCAACAACGGAUCUCUUGGCUCUC
rnacentral:misc_RNA from 1 species